rnacentral:rRNA from 1 species
UACGUAGGGGGCAAGCGUUGUCCGGAAUCAUUGGGCGUAAAGAGCGUGUAGGCGGCUCGGUAAGUCCGCUCUGAAAGCCCGGGGCUCAACCCCGGGAGGCGGGCGGAUACUGUCGGGCUAGAAUCCGGAAGAGGCGAGUGGAAUUCCUGGUGUAGCGGUGAAAUGCGCAGAUAUCGGGAGGAACACCUGUGGCGAAAGCGGCGCACUGGACCACAACUGACGCUGAGGCGCGAAAGCUAGGGGAGCAAACAGG